CCACAGCACCCUCAGCAGGGAACACUAUGGUGCUGUGGGGAAGAGGGAAGUGUCAGGCAGCUGAGAUGGCUCUGCUGCUUCUCCUACCACAGUCUUUCAGGGUGGUCAGGACCUGAAUUCCUCACGCAAAAGAAGAAGCAGGGGAAGAGGAAACUGCAAGCAAGGGCCUUCCCCACCUCAGGGAUCUGUCACAAGGACUCAGCAAGGCUCCAAGCAUGGUUUCUUGCUCUGCAGUCUCUCAGCUCAAGCCUCCUGGGUUUGUUAUUGCACUUCAGCUUUGGAGUAACCAGGAGAGGCAGAGCUUGUCCAGCAUCACAGAGCUGUGGGAACAGCACCGAGUCCUGCCCUGAGCUGUAUGGCACUGGUGCUCCACCAGCUCCAAGCCAGCUUCCAUCCUGGAUCUCAAAUCCAGCUGCUGUGUGAGACACAAGUGGGCUUCUGUGCCACCCCCCACCGCCCAGCUUCACCUGAGGGCUGUGCUGAGAUGUCAUGAGAGAAGAUUAGUGAAAAAU